UACGGAGGGUGCAAGCGUUAUCCGGAUUCACUGGGUUUAAAGGGUGCGUAGGUGGGCUAGUAAGUCCGUGGUGAAAUCUCCAAGCUUAACUUGGAAACUGCCGUGGAUACUAUUAGUCUUGAAUAUUGUGGAGGUAAGCGGAAUAUGUCAUGUAGCGGUGAAAUGCUUAGAUAUGACAUAGAACACCGAUUGCGAAGGCAGCUCACAAAAAUCGCAACUGACGCUGAGGCACGAAAGCGUGGGGAGCAAACAGG
rnacentral:rRNA from 1 species